AUGAGGUUGGUGACUGGAGUAACUGUUUUUCUUACCUUGGGGACUGUGACUGAUGCUAAGACCAUUCAGCCCAACUCCAUGGAUUGUGCUGAAGGAGAAGAUGCAAACUUACCUUGUAACCAUUCUACCAUCAGUGGAGAUGAUUAUAUACAUUGGUAUCGGCAAAAUCCCAACAAGAGUCCACAGUAUAUAAUUCACAGCUUACGAGACAAUGUGACCAACAACAUGGCCUCUCUGACCAUCGCAACAGACAGAAAGUCCAGCAUCUUGACCCUGCCCCAGGUCACUCUGAGAGACACUGCUGUGUACUACUGCAUCGUGAGAGAGGCACAUUGGGACAGAUGGGGCUGCACCUGUGCAAUAUCUCUCUGGAGAUGGGGUGAUGGGAGGCAGCAGCCAUCAGAGCAAAUCUAA